UCAUUAAGUGACUGAAAGUAAGUGUAAGUCUUUUAAACUUAUUAUAGUAAAUACGCCUACUCUUAAUGAA
rnacentral:tRNA from 1 species